rfam:Gasterosteus aculeatus cont1.016900, whole genome shotgun sequence.
UCCUCGUUAGUAUAGUGGCCUGUAUCUCUGCUUGUCACGCAGAAGACCAGGGUUCGAUUCCUGAACGGGGAG